CACGUAGGGCGCAAGCGUUGUCCGGAAUUAUUGGGCGUAAAAGGAGCUCGUAGGCGGUCUGUUGCGUCCGCUGUGAAAACCCAGGGCUUAACCCUGGGCUGGCAGUGGAUACGGACAGACUAGAGGUAGGUAGGGGAGAAUGGAAUUCCCGGUGUAGCGGUGAAAUGCGCAGAUAUCGGGAGGAACACCGGUGGCGAAGGCGGUUCUC
rnacentral:rRNA from 1 species